rnacentral:misc_RNA from 1 species
GCCAUAACCCUAAAAAAGAACUCAAGAAAUGAGCACUAUACGCUUAAUGCUCCAUACUCUUCAAAAUGAUUACAUGACUGGCAGUUGAUGGUGGAAAAUAACCCCAAUUUGUAACUUGCAUUUCUCCAGGGUUUGAGAAACUGAUGACUGGUCCUCCAAAAAUAGCUCAUAGGUAUUUCAACUUGUCAUAAGUUGCCAAGUGGGGACUCUUGAUAAUGAUCAUCUGCCAACCAGAGGCCAAAAUCACGAAACCGCUUUACCUUCUUCUCAAAACCUGUGAUGUAAUUGUUGUGAAUG